AAAUUGAAGAGUUUGAUCAUGGCUCAGAUUGAACGCUGGCGGCAGGCCUAACACAUGCAAGUCGAGCGGCAGCGGGAAAGUAGCUUGCUACUUUUGCCGGCGAGCGGCGGACGGGUGAGUAAUGCCUGGGGAUCUGCCCAGUCGAGGGGGAUAACAGUUGGAAACGACUGCUAAUACCGCAUACGCCCUACGGGGGAAAGGAGGGGACCUUCGGACCUUUCGCGAUUGGAUGAACCCAGGUGGGAUUAGCUAGUUGGUGAGGUAAUGGCUCACCAAGGCGACGAUCCCUAGCUGGUCUGAGAGGAUGAUCAGCCACACUGGAACUGAGACACGGUCCAGACUCCUACGGGAGGCAGCAGUGGGGAAUAUUGCACAAUGGGGGAAACCCUGAUGCAGCCAUGCCGCGUGUGUGAAGAAGGCCUUCGGGUUGUAAAGCACUUUCAGCGAGGAG
rnacentral:rRNA from 1 species